rnacentral:lncRNA from 1 species
AAACAUAUGUAUUUUUCAUUCCAAGAAGAUGUCUAUUUAUAUCUUUUAUACCUUUAUAGAAGCCACCUCUCAUAAGUUAAAACUCUGCCUCUCACAUCAUUCCAAGUUCAGAUACCCAUCCAUGUUCAUUUAAAGUUAGGGUGAUUCAUAGGACUAUACUAGGUCACUAUCUACAAUUAAGACUAAUGAUACUCUUAUAUCCAUUUUUUUCUUCAAUUUUAAAUUUAAAAGGGGGAAAAACAGAACCCUACAUGUCCCUGCUAAAUUUCACAAAGUUAUUUUUAAAAUUACUUUAAAUUUUAAUACUAAAAGUCUUACUACUGCUGAGCAACACAUGGAACAAUGGGAUAAUUCAGAUUUCAAAGGGUAGACUCUAAACUGGCCAUCUUGGAAAUGGCUGAAAAACCUGAUACAAGAAGGUAAAUCUUCAACCACAGUGUUUAUAGCUAUGUAGACCUUGUGAGCUAUCACAAAAGUGAAAUCUAUAGAGACUUCUAUAGACCUAUUCCUCAAGUCCACCUCUAAUGUACCUUACAAUGUGGACAGGAUAAUCCAUC